UUAAUCCAUUGGGCAGACUUGCGGAUACGUUGCUCUCGCCAGAUACAGUAGCUUUGUGGCUGCGGCUUCUGUGGCCUCCGCCAGCUUCAGAGUCGAGUGCCCUGUGAUCUCGACUCAUUCCACUCCCGACACGCGUCCACCCAAGAAAGCGAAAUAGGUCGCCAAAUUAGUUACAAUAUCUUUUGGUGGCAAGCCAAAAAGCGAUUGAAACUCUUUAGCAUAACAAUGGCCAUCUAAAAAGUGAUCGGUUUAAAGGUGUCAAUCAAUUCAACAUUUUGACGGCUCAUAAAGAGGUGCUAAAACUACUUAAGCCCAAAACGUGCCGUUCAAAGAAAUAAUUCACGAUGCGUUUCAAUUUCUCCAGCCACUCGGCGGCGCCCACUUCAACGGCAACGGCCACCACGCAGGCCAAUGGUGGGGAUAAGGCCGCCCAGCCCUUGAAGAAGGCCGUCGAGGCGGAUCCCGAUUCCCUGGACAGUGUGAUCAGUAACCCUCACUCCUACCCCAUCACCAUAGUGCCCAAUCGGCCGACCAGCUUCUACGGCCUCUCCUCAAAUGGCAAGGCGUUCCAGCGGCAGCCGAGCUGCAGAUCUCGCAAUUUCCGGCCUGGCAGCAUGCGACGAGUGCGCAGACGUGCGGUUUUCAAGAAUGGAGACUGCAAUGUGGUACAGAAGCACCUCCAAAGGAGACGAGUGCGCUUCCUGCAGGACAUGUACACCACCAUGGUGGACUGGCAGUGGCGUUGGACGUUGCUGGCCUUCGCCCUCAGCUUCAUUCUAUCGUGGCUCUUCUUCGCGCUCAUCUGGUGGCUGAUUGUCUACACACACGGCGAUCUGGAGGAGCUUCAUAUGCCGGACAACCAGGAGGAGUCUGGCUGGGCGCCCUGUGUCUCGGCCAUUGAUGGCUUCACCUCUUGCUUCCUGUUCUCCAUUGAGACGCAACACACAAUCGGCUAUGGAGUGCGCACCACCUCACCCGAGUGUCCCGAGGCCAUCUUCAUGAUGUGUUUCCAGUCCAUCUACGGCGUGAUGUCCUCCGCCUUCAUGGCCGGAAUUGUGUUUGCCAAGAUGACACGGGCCAAGCAGCGGGCACAGACGCUGCUCUUCUCCAAGCACGCGGUCAUCUGCCAGCGGGACGGAUGUCUUUCGCUGAUGUUCCGGGUGGGCGACAUGCGCAAGUCCCACAUCAUCGGAGCCGGGGUGAGGGCUCAGCUGAUUCGCACCAAGAGCACCAAGGAGGGCGAGGUGAUGACGCAGUACUUUACGGAGCUGGAGAUUGGCACCGACGACUCCGGUUCGGAUCUGUUCUUCAUUUGGCCGAUGGUCAUCGAGCACAAAAUAGAUGAGAACUCGCCGCUGUACAAUCUGAAUGCCACCGACAUGCUGCAGGACAAAUUCGAGAUUGUGGUCAUUUUGGAGGGUACCGUAGAGUCCACAGGCCAGAGCACCCAGGCCAGGUCCAGCUAUAUUAACACUGAGAUCCUGUGGGGCCACCGUUUUGACCCGGUAGUGCUGUACAACAAGGACCUACAGGCCUACGAGAUCGACUAUGGUCGCUUCAAUGAAACCACCCAGGUGGACACGCCCCUGUGCAGUGCUCGCGAGCUGAACGAAAUUUAUAAAAUCCAGGAAGGCUUCCGCACACCAGAAACCACCUUCACCAUGCGUCAACUGUCCCACAACCAUUCCGAUCAGGCCUCCUAAAACGUUGGAUCACAGUGUGUUGUCCCAUUUGUUGGUAUAGCUCGUAAGCGUCCUUGUUAUAUCCUCGCCUUCGAUACACAGCUCCUGUUCCGGCUAUCAGUCAUCCGGGAAUCCCAAUCGCCUGCGCUGGCAGCUCUCGGUGCCCUUGUAGAGAUACCCGACU